AACGAACGCUGGCGGCAUGCCUAACAUAUGCAAGUCGAACGAGACCUUCGGGUCUAGUGGCGCACGGGUGCGUAACGCGUGGGAACCUGCCCUUAGGUUCGGAAUAACUCCCCGAAAGGGGUGCUAAUACCGGAUAAUGUCUUCGGACCAAAGAUUUAUCGCCUUUGGAUGGGCCCGCGUUGGAUUAGCUAGUUGGUAGGGUAAAAGCCUACCAAGGCGACGAUCCAUAGCUGGUCUGAGAGGAUGAUCAGCCACACUGGGACUGAGACACGGCCCAGACUCCUACGGGAGGCAGCAGUGGGGAAUAUUGGACAAUGGGCGAAAGCCUGAUCCAGCAAUGCCGCGUGAGUGAUGAAGGCCUUAGGGUUGUAAAGCUCUUUUACCCGGGAUGAUAAUGACAGUACCGGGAGAAUAAGCGCCGGCUAACUCCGUG
rnacentral:rRNA from 1 species